UACAGAGGUGGCAAGCGUUGUUCGGAAUUACUGGGCGUAAAGCGUGCGCAGGCGGCUUUGCAAGACAGAUGUGAAAUCCCCGGGCUCAACCUGGGAACUGCAUUUGUGACUGCAAGGCUAGAGUACGGUAGAGGGGGAUGGAAUUCCGCGUGUAGCAGUGAAAUGCGUAGAUAUGCGGAGGAACACCGAUGGCGAAGGCAAUCCCCUGGACCUGUACUGACGCUCAUGCACGAAAGCGUGGGGAGCAAACAGG
rnacentral:rRNA from 1 species